rnacentral:rRNA from 1 species
AACGAACGCUGGCGGCAGGCCUAACACAUGCAAGUCGAACGCUGUAGCAAUACAGAGUGGCAGACGGGUGAGUAACGCGUGGGAACCUUCCCAGUGGUACGGAAUAGCUCAGGGAAACUUGGGGUAAUACCGUGUGAUCCCGAAAGGGUAAAGAUUUAUCGCCAUUGGAUGGGCCCGCGUCGGAUUAGCUAGUUGGUAGGGUAACGGCCUACCAAGGCGACGAUCCGUAGCUGGUUUGAGAGAAUGACCAGCCACACUGGGACUGAGACACGGCCCAGACUCCUACGGGAGGCAGCAGUGGGGAAUCUCGGACAAUGGGCGCAAGCCUGAUCCAGCCAUGCCGCGUGAGUGACGAAGGCCUUAGGGUUGUAAAGCUCUUUUGCCGGGGACGAUAAUGACGGUACCCGGAGAAUAAGUCCCGGCUAACUUCGUGCCAGCCGCCGCCGUAAUAC